UGUGAGGGCAAUCUUGCUACAUCUGUCAUCUCAUUGAUCGCCAGGGUUAAGUCAGCAGAUCUGGCUCAUGAGGCAGGUAUCCCCAACCUCCCUCACCUCUCCAUGUGUGUUACUCCAAGCUGAGGCUGGGUCAGAGAACAAACUUCCCCAAUGGAGAAGGACCACUUGUGGGCCAAAUGUACAGAAAUAGCUGUGCGCCCCUGCUAGUACCUCCAAACACGCUCCCAAGGUCCAUUUGUAGGAGAACGUAGGGAAGUCAAACUUCCAAGAUGGCAGACACAACCAAAUGAGGCUCCACAUGUGGCAGGCUGCCUUUNNNN
ensembl:misc_RNA 7SK 7SK RNA